GUUUGUUUACCCCUCUGCCCACUCCAGCCACGGAGCGCGGAGGGGGUCGGAGUGGGGAUGCAGCAACAACAACUAAACCACUCUGCGGGCGCCCCCCAUACCCAGGCGGUCCCCGCGGUCGCGGGGCGGUGUGAUGCCUUCCGUGGCCGCCAGGUGGCAGCGCAGGGCGGUGGAUGGACCGCGCCGGCUCGCACAGGGGCCGCCCCACCGGCGCGCUGCCCCCGGCCCCGGGCAGCCCCGCAGGGCGGGCGGGCGCUGCGCAGGGGCAUCCUGGGGGGCGUUGGGCUGCCGGGCGGCGUUGGUGGUUGCGACGGGGAGAAACGAAGUAGGCGACGCUGCGCUGACUGCAUUGUCUUUGUUGCCGGUUCGAAGAACUGCCGUUAUUUCAUUUGCAUACGGAACAUGGAGGGAUAUUUGUGUGAGCAAAGCUGGCAGUGGCAGUGGUGAUGGUUUUUACGUUUAGCUUUAGGUUUUUAUUUUCUGCGAAAUUACGUAUUUGGCUGAACUUCAAAGAAAAAAGGCCUGAAAUAAGUAAGAUCUGGUGUUUGGAUGGAAGACAGCUUUCUUAUAUAAACCAGGUUGGAUUGAUCUCUUGGACUGAAAGUUAUGCAUGUUGUUCAAAGGCGUAUGGAAGAUCUAGCAUUUUUACAUUAUGUAUUGGAGGGCAUUUGAUGGCCACCUGGAACAGAAUUUUCAGUUAAGUUUUCUCUACAGAAAAGCUGAUUGAUUUUGUUUUCAUUUUUCUGGGAGCGGGAAGUAAGAAAAAUAAUGGUUAACCUUCAACAAACCUCAUUAAAACUGCUUCAAAAAAACAAUCAAUGAGUGGCAUGGGAUGAUCAGGGAAACUUAUUCAAAAAUAUAUUUCUAUUCCAAACUACAGUUGAAGGUAAAUGUGGCCCAAGGCAACUUAGCUUGGACUAAACCUUUAUGCAAUGAAGUGUUUUUGAGAGACUGUUUUCUGAAUCUCAGUUCAAAACUGUUAUGUACUAACGCUGCUAUGGGAUUUCAAUUCAUUAUUACUUUAGUGAGUCUGCUGUAAGAACUGACUUUUAAAGUAAUUAAUAUUAUUUAUCUAUUUAAGCAAUUAAUAUAACAAACGUGCCAAAUUCUAGGCGUGAUUUCUGUGUCCACUGAUAAACCUAUUCUUGGCUUUCAUGUGACAAGAUCGAUGCCAAAAAUAUGCUAAGUCUGAUAAUGAAAAUAGAGUAUCUGGGUACUAACCACUCAUGUGUUAAGUUUUCUAUGCCCAAAAAUAAUUAAGUCGAUUGUGGCAGAAUGCAAACCCCCCUCUCUCCCCCUCCCUCCUUCAGUAUGGAAGGAGCAGACACAUCUCCCUCUCUCUCUGCUACUUGAGGCUAACAGCUUCUUUUGUUUGGCCCCAGAGCACCCUGGCCAGGGCCGUUAGGCAAAGGGAGUGCUGAGGGGCCAAUGAACCGCUGGGUGCCCGCAGCCAGUGUUGGGGGUGUUUGGAGGCUUCAGGGGCACCACACAGCCACUGUGGGGGUGCAGAGAAGCUUCUAGAAUGCCUACAGUCAGAUCUGAUCAGCCAGUAUAAAAACGGGACUCUCGUCGAGACUCCGCCCAUUGUCUCAGGUCGCUCGGAGCAUGAGCAACAUGCUGCCGCCAAGAGCCCCCCUCCCCGGCAUGGGGACUCCGCUUGCCUUGCUGCCACGUGUGUAAGUAAAACUUCUCGCAGGAUUGCGAGUAUAUUUAUAUUUUCCAUGUACAUAUGCACAUGUAACUUUUCGUGCUCAAUACGAGCACGUGUAUAAAUUAUUUCCUCGCACAAUCGCGAGUGUAUUUUCCUCCCGUGCUUCCACAUAAGCACAUGCAAUACUCUGUGCACAUUUGCAAGUGUAAGGGGGGGGGAGGGGGUUGCAUUCUGCCACACCAUCAUUCCCAAGUUGGAAUACUUAUGCUCAAAGUAACUUUCAAACUAAUGAAAAACAUACUUUCUCUCUUUUUUCUCUCUAGCUUUAUGGCAUUCCAAUAUUUUAAUGAAGAUACGCAUAGAAUUCUUAACUGUACAUUUUUCAAGUUGAUGGUAAAAUUUGUGAAAUAACAUUCAUUAUUUUUGGUACUAUUUAAUGAUAAAAUUCUCUUGCAUUGAACUUAUUCAUUCUGACAACUGCAACUACAGGAUGCAUUUUAUUUCCUAUAGUCAUUUACAGUUCUUCAGAAAAUCAACAGAAACUAAAUAUGGCAAUUAAGUAUCACAGCUGAGUUAAGCAAGAUUUUUAUUGCCCUCGAGUUAAAGUAUUUUUCAGUGUUUGGUAAACUGGUGUUUUAUUUUGCUUCGGGUUUGAUUUUUUUUUUUUUAAAGCAUUCUGGACAAAAAAGACAGAACAGUUCUUUUGCCAAAAUAAGCAAGUAUAUAAAUAAAUAAAUAAAUCUUAUAUGUCAGAGAAGUUACCAUCAGUGUUGUGAGCCAAGUGACUAAGCAAUUAUUUAUUGGGUGAAAAAAAUUAUGGCAAUUUGUCUUCUCACUUUGCAGAGGAAGUCACUCUUGUGCUGUCAUGUGCAAUUCCUUUCACACCUCUUAGAAGGCAGAUGGUAUACAAGAUUUUCUCCUGCUGCUCUAGAAGAAAAUCUGUUUUUCCAAAAAUGUGUAGCUUGUGUGUGGAAAUACCUUCUCUUACUCACCCAGGAGAUGGAGAGUACAAGGAGCUACAACUCUACCCAUCGCUCUUCUGUGCCUUCAAAGCAUUUUUAAGAGACAGUGACCUUUAGAACUUGCAAUAUUGUGUCUUUUUGAUAAUGGGAAUUUUUCCUUAUUAGCAAAAGAACAGAACAAUUCAAAGUGGUUUCCAAUUGUGAAAGUACAUUGUGAAUCAGAAAGAACACAAUGUACAAGGUCAAAAUUCCAUCUGGUUUGUUGGAGCAAGAUGGGUGGCAUUCAUGAGAUAACAAGUUUCAUUUCAUCUUGAUUGUGUUUCAAAAGGUGUUAUAUUUAGAGUAGUUUUUAAAAAUGUAUGGUCUUGUAAAUGUGCAUAUAUGCUUUCCAGAAUACUUUACUUAAAAUAAACUAGAAAAUAUGGCAUUUGGAGGCUACAAUUUUUUAACAGAAAACUAAAAAUGUUUAGUUAAAUGCUAAAAGAAAAAAAUCCUUUAUUAACACAAAGGAACAUCUGAAAUCCUCUAUCUGCCUGCAAAAUUAUAAAGAAUUAUUUGAAAGCAGUAUAUGAAAACUGCAAUAUUUACACAGAUAUUAAUAAAUACAAUUAUGUGUAGUAUAGGAAAAAAAAAUCUAUCUAAUGUCUUAAAAACCACUUCAGAAAAUGGCAUUAUAUUUGAGCACUUAAAUACACAGAAAUUUCAUUUUGGAAACAGAGGCAGAAAAACAUCCUACUUGGUAGAAUAUUUCAAACUUUAAUUUAUUGCCAAAAUAUCCCAGCUUUAAUUAAUAUUUUAAAAUAUUUAGACCCAGGAUCUGAUACUACUGUGAACACCUGUUGUCUCUCACUAAAUUACAUUAUUAGCAUAAAACGAAUGUUGAGACAUUUUCUUUACCAAUACAAAUUACUGGAGACUUAAACUAGUUGUAGGCAUUGAAAUGCGAAUUCUUUUCUUCACAGUAAAUACAUUAGUUAAACCAAUUUUUUUCAUACUAAAUUAGCAAAAACAUGUAUUUUAAGACAUUUUAAGAAUUAAAAACAAAACAAGACAAUCCAAAACCCGAAAAACAGCCCUUACAAAUCAAAUCAAAACUGAAAUGGAUAGUUGAAACUACUCUGAGAAAACAAAAAUGUAAGAUACUCCUGCACUUUAAACAUUGUGAACAGUGUUCUGUAAUCCAGCAAGCAGAAUUAAGGUAGUACCUCUCCUUUACACUUCAGCUUACUUAGUUAUCCACAAUGUUUUCUCUUAUAACUGGACUCUGAAAGCAGUAUUAAUAUAUUGCUUUUCUUUUUGUACAGUAUGGGCUUCUGGCAUACUGUAUUACAGGUGAUGAUGUACUUAUAGAGUUAAACUUGUGUAACAGCUCUGAAGUACUUAAGUGAGACUAAUCAAAAUAAAAUAUUUAAUUGCAUGAAUGGAUGUGUUCAGUGUCAAAUUUCAUGUUAACCAUGGCCAAGUCAUCCCACAGAAGAUUGACACCUGAAAAAGAAAUGUAAGAGACUGUUACUUCCUGGAUAAAUGGAGGAUGCAUUGUCAAGAAUCUCUGAAAUGAAACUGCACUAAAAUGAAAAGGCAAAACUAGAGUGUUUGCAUGAUGUGUGACAUCAGGGGAAAGUGGUCCCCCUUUGAAAAUAUUAUCUGGAAAAUUUUGUCAAAAAUACAGGAAAGUGAAAAAGGCUUAAGGCUUAUAGAUCAUGUCACAGUCCUCUUUAUUAAAUUUAUUCAGAAACUGAGCAAAUCAGAGUUUAAGCUACUACAGGUAGGUCGUCCUGAAGUGCUAGCACUUUGCUACAUCUUGUUCUUUUGCAAAGAGCACUGUGUGUGCUGCACCUGUGUCUAGACUGUCAAAUUUUAAUCUGAGGGGAUGAUAGUUACCAUCCACUGAUGUAUUUUCUGCAGAAAUUCCUUAUUAGAUCAGGCACACUGCCUUUCCGUCAGAGAGAGGUGACAUUCAAGUGUCUUUAGGACUAUUAAAAACAUGUGUUUCUUUUUCAAACAAAUACAUUUGCAGAUCUGCAUGUGGUUCUUUAAUCUAGUAUUCAUUCUCUGUAAAAAUAGUCAAAUUAUGUUAUAUCUCUUUCCAUCUGUAACAGGAUCACACGGAAUAUCCCAGUGGCUGAGAACCAACUUCUGUGAAGCAUCCUUUCUAGGGCACUUCGAGACACCAGACAGGAUGCCCCUGGAUGCUCUGUGCCAUGAGCGUGAACUGUCAGGACAAAUAGAUGGGUCUAACAGGCAGAGGAUUGGGAGAGCUCAGGGAUUUGGGGAUUUCCUGUCAUAGCCAUAAUGCUAGACUGCUAGUAUUUCUAUGACAACAUGAUAUAUUUGUUAGAAGUAUCCACUGGCUGUACCAUACUUACCUACCAGUUACCUCAUAAUUGUAGUGGUUUACUACUAUAUUUUAUAGUUAUAGUUGAACGUUGCUAAAUGGUAGUUUUAAGCACUUCAGCUGUGCUUGUUACACAAGCUAUGGAUCAAUGGAAACUACUAAAAAUCAUAUUAUAUACCUUAUGCAGUCAAAACUUCUUUCCUUACCAUAUAAUACUUCUGUAAACUUUUCCCUUACUGAACUUCUAUCUUUGUUUAAUAUGCUGUAAACUCUUUUUCCCUGCUUAUACAUUCCAUACACAAUACAUAACUGUAUCUGCAUACUUUAUAAUACAGAAACGUGCAUACGGACACCAAUUGCUAUUUAUAUCUCCUGUGAGAACAUGUUUCUUGUAAAUAUUGGUCACUGAAUGUGGACAUGAAUCUCACAUGUAACUCUUAGUCCAGGGGUUUGUGGUGGUACAGACCUUCCCAUAGGGCCACCUAGCAAUCUCAAAACAAGCCAGCAUCAUGUUCUCAAGUGUUCUUGCUUUAAUCACAAGUACAGUGAGUAAAAAUGAACAGGCACUCCUCAGUGACCACAAAGCAGGCCAACAUUGUUCUUGAGAGUGAGAUGGGACAAUUAGGUGCCUCCUAAUUGCACCUGAAACGCCUGCUAACUGGAUCAUUGCCCAAACUGGGAAGUACCAGGUAAGCCUAAGGCAUGUUGUGGCCAGAAUGAAAAAAUACUGGCCAAAGUCAGUCACUUCACAACCCCAUAAAUAGUCAUCCUGAAGUGAAACCCUUUGAGCUUUCUGGGGUUGCAGUGGGCUGUGACCCAGUAUCUUCCCCUGACUGGGACACUUUCAGGGCUGAGUUAGUGAAGAUUUAAUGACUGUUUAUUGAUGAUUUUAUGAGGAUCCAAAGGCCAAUUCCACACAGUCUGAUGGUCAUCUACAGAUGAAUGUUGACAUGUAAAAGUGAGUAAUUUGUAAAAAUCACAAAAGGGAAAUUUUAAUUGUAGAUUAACCUUUUUUUGUGUGUGUGAUUUGAUUUCAGACUGUUUUGUCUAUUUGUCUUUGUGUGUGUGUUUUAAUUUACUUCUUUUGUGUAUGAGUAUUUUAGUUAAGGAAACCCUGUUGUAACUUUAGCAUGAACCUUACCAUUUACAAAUCUUUAAUUAAGUUGCUAUUUUGAUUGAUUAUAAUGAAUUUAUUUGAAUCACUCUAUUAAAUUGGCUGAUGAUUAAGUGCUAUUAAUAAUUAUACAGCCUAGCCUUGUAAUCUGUCACAAAGUAUUAAUAGAUUCUAAAUUGCUGUUAAAUCAAAGCCAUGCAUAAAUUCCACUUGUGACAGGGUUGACCCACCUGUUGUGAUUGAAGAUUUGUUGUAUCUCUGUGUGGUAAAAGAUCUCUGAAUAAAAAUGACAAGAAUGGGAGAAUCACAUCACUCACUAUAACCCUCCCUUUAGAUCCUUCUGUUUGCAAAACUUGAACAGUAUAAAAGCAGCCUGCAAGCAGGAUACACACAAUUUAAGGGCAAAAGAACUGGGAAUAAAACCACCUAGGACUAACCAGCUACCAUGCAAAGCAUUACUGCACUCACCAUGCAAGUGACGCUACUAAUACAUCAUUGCUGAUGAAAGUCUUCAGUCAGCAGGGUGAAGGUCAGCCUCUGUUAAUGUUUGAAACAGUCUGAUCCUCAUUGCUCCUUAGUUGCUACCUCCUGAUCUUCUGUUUUAAUGUAAUUUUUUUUUUUCCCUUAGGGAUUUAUACCUUUCAAUGGCAGUAAUUUUUAUCUUGAAUACUGUAGUUGCUAUUAUUAAUUAAGCAGUUAUACUUCUGUCUGUGUUUUUACUUAUUCUGAAAGGCUUAACUCAUAUGCUCCCACAUGUUAACAGCUCAUGUUCUCAUUAAAAUUAGCCAUGGUCACACAGCUGUGCUGUAUCAGAUGACUCCAUGAAUUCCAGGUAGAUGAAACUCUUUGGAUGAGAGUCAAAUGAUGGAGUUCAAUGUAGUUGUCAAAAUAUAGCUCUCUGGAUUUGAAGAGAUGUCAUUUAAAGAUGUGUAAAUUUAGAUGCAUUCCUGGCCUGUAUCUGCAGUAGAGGUGUCUCAUAGAUCAUGCAUCACAUUUGGCAACGACAUGUGGGUGUAUAUGAUGAGUUAGAGUGUUUUAAGUGGCUCUCAGUACCUAUGUUUAAGUAAUUGAUUCGUGUCCAUUGUGUCAGAUGAAGGAUUUGACCAGUCCACUGUUGGGUCACAGUGAGUCUUUAGUGGAACCUACUCAUGGAAUGUAAAUUUUUCUCUGUAGAAGGUUUUAUAAGCAUGUACUACUUGCUGUUACAGUCACUUAUUUCAGGACCUUGGAUUGCAUGCUUUUCACAGAAAAGUGAUUCCAGAGUAAGGAAACUUAACUCCUAAAAGUCUUUUAUCCCAUGUGUUCCUCCAGAAAUUUUAGCAAAUGGUGGGCUAUAUUUGAAGUCCUCUAUUGGAAGCUCAGUGAGCUUACCAUGUUUUAGGAAUUCAUUAUUUUAAUGAGGGUGUCUGUGCCAGUCCUGUGGUAAUUUUAGACUCCUACUAGGUGGUAAAAAAUCAAUUGGUGUGGGGAAGUCCCCUAGAGGAAUACUGGAUCUGGAAUAUUGUAAUGCCUUCUCACAAAGUAAUUCUUUAGUUUCUGGGAGGACAUUUACUUGGUUGGCUCUGAAUGUAGCAUUUUCCACAGCUUUACUGUUUCAUUUUUAUUGUUUCAUUGAUUGGAAGAGACUCAAUCUUUUAUACUGUAAGACUCUGCAAAACUAUUGGGACAGGGCAAUUGAGGUUAUUAUGACCUAAAUUUCAGUUUGUUCUCUCCCGUGGGAGUAGGCUGACAGUGGUAACAGGAUGGGAGAUUCUCCUUCUGUCAGAAUCUUCAAGACACCAGCCUCCAGAAUCUCCAGGAUGAGAGUGUCUGUAUGUACCCUGAGCUAUCCUAUGUUUCUUGUACACAUACUUAAGUGGAUGAGUAUCACUUUUUUUUUUUUUUUUUUUUUUUUUUUUUUUUUUUCAAAUAGACCCUAAACUUUUGCAAGGUUAAAGUUGAGUGCUAAUUUCAGUCAGCCUGUUGAGCAGGCUGAACCCCAAAAUCAAGACGAUGCCAGCAGUUGCCAUGUUUUGCUGUUAACAGGAACAGUUUUUUUGAGGUUAGCUUGCUAUCCCAUCCAAAUUAAUUUCAGCAGGGCAGUAUUAUUCAGGUCCUACCCUGCCUCCAUUGUGAAUUAACAGCUUCAGAGAGAGAGCUAAGUGCAUAACGUUGUCAGCAGUCAUUUAGUUGAAGGUAAGCAAAAACAGAGGAUGACACCAGACAUCAGAGCCCUUAUGGUCAAAGAAUGAGGUCUCUGAAUGACAAGAACCAUAUCUAGUUGUUCAUAGAUCCCCUUUUUACACUUUUCUCUCAGAUCAAUGAAGCAGAAAUACUAAGCCCUUUCUAAAUUCUCCUAACAGAAAUGAAUCUCUUCCAUACUCAUGCACAAUGAAACAAGCACACUCAAUCUCUUCUCCACAUACAUAUAAAUUAGAUAUUUAGCUUUGUUUCUGAAGUUUCAUUAACCUUUGUGAGUGUAUUUUCCUUCACCAAUUAAUUCAAUAAUGUAGUGGUUUGACCCUGGCUGGAAGCUAGGCCCUACACAGCCACUCACUAUCUUUCCCUGCUGCCAGUAGGAUGGGGGGAGAGAACAAGAAGAGCAAAAGAUUCCUAGACUUGUAGGUUAAGAUAAAAACAGCUUAAGUGAAAGGAAGAGGAAAAGAAAGGAGAAAACCAAACAAAACAAGUGAUGGAAAAACAAUCACUCACUACUUCCCACAGUAGGCUGAUGCCCAUCCAGUCCCCAAGUAAUGGCUGCCUACCCAAAAUCUUCUUCUCUUCCAGUUUUUAUAGCUGAAGAUGAGUCUAUGGCAUGGAGUACCUCAUUGGUCAUUUUAGAUCAGUUUUCCUGGUUAUGUCUGCUCCCCACUUUUUGCCCACCCCCAGCCUACUGUCAGGAGCCAGAGGGCGUGGAAGGGGUGGACAGCAUGAAAAGCAGAGAAAGCUUUGACACUGUAUAAGCACUGUUCAGCAGUAGCUAAAAUAUGCGUGUGCAAUCAACACUGUUCUGAUCAUGUACCCAAAACAUUGCACUGUAAUGGUCUGCUAUGAAGAAAAUUAACUCCAUCCCAGCCAGACCCAGCAAAAAGAAGAAAAGGUAGACAUGGCCUUCUUUGCAAAACUGGCAGAAACCUCGAAUUUGCAGGUCCUCGUCCUCAUGGAUGACUUAAUCCGAAAAUCUACUGUAAGGCCGACAUAGCAAGCUGUAAGCAAAGCAGGGAGUUUGUGGAGCAUGUUGUUGACAACUUCUUGACACAAGAGAUUAAGGAACUGACAAAGUGAGACACUGCUGGAAUGCAUUUUUACAAGGAACUGGUCAGGAAGAUGAAGAUUAGAGACAGCUUUACCUAAAGUAACCAUUUUAUGGUGGAGUUCAACAUCCUGAGAAGAGGAAACAAAGCAAGUGGCCGAAUCAUAACCCUGGACAUCAGGAGAGCAGACUUUGUGGACCGGCUUGGAAAAAUCCUGGGGAAAAGCUGGUUGAGGGGUGCCUUCUCCAAGCUCAGGAAUGAUACAUUCCAACGAGCAUGAAAGCAAACAUCUUUUCAAUAUCUUCAUUAACGAUCUGGAUGAAUGGACAGAAAGCACCCUCAGCAGGUGUGCAAAUGAUAACAAACUAGGAGGAGCAUCUGAGAGAUCAAAAGAUUGUACUGCCCUUCAGAAGGACCUCAACAGGCUUGAGACAUGGGCCAAAAGGAGCAUCAGGAAAUUCAACAUUACAAAUGAAGUACUGCCCCUGAAAAAGAAUAAAUCAAUGCACUAGUACAAGUUGAGGUCUCACUGACUGGAAAGGGCCUGGGGUUAUAGUGGACAGCAAGCUGAACAGGAACCAGCAACAGGCCUUUGCAGCAAAAAAGAGCAACAACCCUUCUUCCUUGGCUACACUAGAAGGAGUGCCAGAAGGUCAAGGAAGGUGAUUUUUUCCUCUUUAUUCAGCCUUGGUGAGAUACAUUUGGAGUAAUGUGUCCAAUUAUUGGCUCCCCAAUACAUGAAAGACAUGGACAUGCUGGAGUAAGUCCAGCAAAAGACAACAAAGAUGAUAAAAUAAUAGAAAAUCUGUCAUUGUGAUUGUCCCCCUGUACUCAGCACUGGUGAGGCCACACCUUGAAUACUCUGUUCAGUUUUGGGUCCCUCAUUACGAGAAAGACAUUGAGGUGCUGGAGAGACUUCAGAGAAGGGCAAUGAAGCUAAUGAAAGGUCUAGAGCGCAAGUCUUACGAGGAGCGGCUGGGGGAUCUGGUGUUGUUUGGCCGAGAGAAGAGGAGGAUGAAGAGACACCUCGUCGUGAGACAGGUUAGUUUUACUCUACUGAUGAUGUGUUGUUGCAAUAGUAACACUGCUCAGUACGAGAGGAACUGCAGGUUCAGAUCCCUGGUGCGUAUGCUUGGCUGAGGAGCCACUGGCACGAGGCUACCAUCUGCGGGCUUAUGACUGAAUACCUCUAAGUCAGAAUCCUGCCUAGAUGUAGCGAUACCGCAGUGCCAUGGGUGCCUCAGUGGGCUCACGAUAGCCGGCUGUCGCCCCUGCCGGGGGCGGGCCCAGUGUGGAGUGCUGCUUGUGUUCUGGACCGGAGGGCUGGAUAUAUGUGGCAUCACCUCUCCCUCGAUGCAUACCAUGUGAUCGUGGGGCACCUGGCACUAAAUCAUUCAUAGAUGACCUGAUUCUGGGUCAGGGUUUCAUACGUAGCAGAGCAGCUCCCUCACUGUGAUCUAUUGAGAAUCAGCCCUCAACACAAGCUCUUGUUGAGGGAGCUGGGUCUCUUUAGUUUGUAGGAGACUGAGGGGUGACCUUAUUAAUGGUUACAAAUAUAUAAAGGGUGAGUGUCACGAGGAUGGAGCCAGGCUCUUCUCAAUGACAACAAUUCAAUGAUAGGACAAGGGGCAAUGGGUUCAAAUUGGAGCACAAGAGCUUCCACUUAAAUCUGAGAAGAAACUUGUUCUCAGUGAGGGUAACAGAACACUGGAACAGGCUGCCCAGGGACAUUGUGGAGUCUCCUGUUUGGAGACAUUCAAAACCCACCUGGACACAUUCCUGUGUAGCCUCAUCUAGGUGUUCCUGCUCUGGCAGGGGGAUUGGACUAGAUGAUCUUUUGAGGUCCCUUCCAAUCCCUAACAUUCCCUGAUUCUGUGAUUAUGUGACCUUAUCGCUCUCUAAAACUACCUGAAAGGAAGUUGUAGCGAGGAGGAUGUUGAUCUCUUCUCCCAAGGAACAAGUGAUAAGACGAGAGGAAAUGGCCUCAAGUUGCUCCAGGGGAGGUUUAAAUUGAAUAUUAGUGAACUUUUCUUCAUUGAAAGCAUUGUCAAGCAUUGGAACAGGCUGCCCAGGUAAGUAGUGGAGUCAGCAUCCAUGGAGGAAAUUAAAAGAUGCGUAGGUGAGGUUCUUAGGGACAUGGUUUAAUGCCUGUGUUAGGUUCAUGGUUGGACUCUAUGAUCUUGAGGUUCUCUUCCAACCAAAGUGAUUCUAUGAUCUGUGGAGAGGCUGAGAGAGCUGAGACUGUUCAACCUGGAGAAGAAUCAGGAGGUACUGAAUCAGUGUGUAUAAAUACCUGAUGGCAUGACAUAGAGAAGACAAAGUCAGACUCUUCUCAGAGGUAUUCAGUGACAGAACAAGAGGCAAUAAUCUGAAACUGAUCUACAGGCAACCCUGUUUAAAUGUUUAAAAAAAAAAUCACAACAGGAUUAGUCAAACCCUGGAACAGUUUGCUCAGAGACGUGGUAGACAUCUCUGGAGCCAGGCAAAACCUGCCCAGCCACAGUAAGUGUCCAGCAAGCUGAGCAACCUGCCCUAGGUAACCCUUCUCUGACCAGGGCAAUUAGACCAGAUGAUCUCCAUAGGUCCCUUCUGAGAUCAGAAAUUUUGUGACUCUAGUUUUCCACAGGGUCAGAUAUGUACAGUGGAAGGUUGUUCUUAAGGCUAAGAACCAAUUUUCCUUGAAAUAAAUUCUAUAUUUUUUUUUGCAUCUGCUGUCAUUGUACACCUCCUUGAGACUUCUGCUUCUUCAGACUUGAGCCUUUCAGGCAGCUUUCAGUCCCCAGCCAUUUAUCCUGAGAACAUGACCCAUACUUCUCCCCAAGGGAGGGAAAAGUGUGCAAAGGGUCCCAUGAAUAUCUACAGAGAAAAGUAAGUAUGCUACUUGAAAUUGGAAUAUAAAUAUUUCUUUAUCCAAUACACACAAAUAUAAGCCAGUAUUGCUUCCCUUUCCCUAAAAGACUUAAUCUAAAGGCUAGAAACAGACAAGGUGAGUGGGAUAUAUGCAUAGAUUCUAGCAGCCAACGUUAGGCAAGUUUAGGAUAUCUAUUGAAGCAAGGGUCUGCAUGUUGUCAGAAGCCCAAACUUCUAGAACCCAGCACAGCUCAGAUAACUAUGUGCAUGCAUGCUGGGGUGCAUCGGAACAACACAUUUCAUUAUGAACCUUGAUCUGCCACACUUGGGGAUUUUUUUAAAGUUAAAUAAACAUUUUUUUGCCACUGGCUUUUGACUGUGAUCCAAGUACAUAAAAGUGAACAACCUUAUUUUCUCAGAUUCCUAGUCAUGCCUGUGGGCCUUUCAGUCAUGAUCACAUUUUUAUAGAUGUUAACAACAGGUCAGCAAAAUAACCAGCUAGCAGAAUAACAAAUAGGAUGCUCUGCAGCCUGCAGGAAUAACAAACAUUUUUGCGGAAUGCAUACAGACAUAUUCACAGAUACAGUGUUUGAGGUGUGUUCAUGGGCGUGUUGUAUGAAAGAAGGGAAGUGUCCUGUGAUGCCUUAUACUGUUGGAAGUGAAAUAGUUUGGGAGAUUGAGUGGGAUGUGUUAAACUAACUUUUGCACUAUCCGUAUUUUUUUGUAGGGAGCUAACAAUAUUUGUGAUUGCUUUUUGAUUUUCUCCUGAAGGAAGCUUUCUGAUUUACCAAAAAUGAAUCUACAGGAACAAUCUAGCAUAAUCUCAGUGCAAAAGAGCUAGGGACCAGACCUCUAGGGUGAAACACAGAGUGACCAUAUUGACAGUAAAAACACACUUAAAAUCCAUUGACAGUAAUUUCAUUACUCUCUUGUAAUGAAUCAAGUAAAUUGAAAAGAAUACAUGACUGCAGUAGUAGCUUUUGUAUCACUCACUGAGCAUACUGGAGAGCAAAGACAUAAUUACAAAGAAAAAUAUAUGGCACAGAUAUCAUGGUAAAAAACAAAGGAAACUAGAGAAUAGGACCCUCAGGGCAAUUUUCACUUACAGACAUGAAGCAAAGGGAAAAGGGAGGAGGUAAAAAAAGCACAUGAAUAUCCAUGAAAGAAAACCUACUUGUUACCUGUUUAGGUGGCAGUUCUUGUUAGUUCCUUUUCUGGUAAAAUAUUGUUUUACUUUUACAUUUUGAGUAAGCUUUCUCAAGCUAAAUUCAACUACUACCCAAGUCCUUCUGGCCUUCAUCAAACCUCCCCUGACUGUGAAAAGAAAUAUUCACAUGAACGAAAAGGGCUCUUGUGGAGGCACUCACGUAUCUCACCACUGUUGAGUGGUCCACUUAGCAUCAUCUGUCAAGUAUGUGAUUAUAAACAGGAGGGUCUGCAUGCAUGGGACACCCAAAAUUGUCUGAGAAGGUUUAUGCCUAAAAUUAUCAUGUUAGAGAGGAAGAUGACCAGCAGGAUUAAACAGCAACCAGGAAAGGACAGACACUUCUGAAGAGGUCAGUCUUAGAUGUAUGAAGGAAGCACGGAUAUGUGUGACAUAGGGAGAGACAGUGAAGAGGAAGCAUCAGGCAUCAGAGGGGUCUGUCCCUGCUGGCAGUGUUCCCAGGACACCCUGACCUCUGCCCAGACCAGGCAGCUCAGCCUCCCUGUGGGGUGCCAGGAGCAGCCGUCACCCAGCAGUGGGCUGGCAGAGUGGGGGCAGCACAUAGGGACCUCACCUUGAGGUGCAGGGACACCUGCCAGGUGCCUCCUCACUAUCGGGCCUGUCAGAAGUGACAGAGAUGCAUGCUAAAGUGGGGAAGAGGUGAUUACAAGAUUACAACCCCUACAUCCAGAGGGAGUGUGUAUGCUGAGUUUAGACCUUUAUAGGAUGAGCUAUACAAAGCUGUUUAUAAAUGUGUAGGUAUUUAUUAGCAUCUUGUAAUUUAUGUAUAAUUCAGAUUAAGCUCUUGUAUUAAGGAUAUUGGUUCUGCAUAUGUAGUUCAUGGAUUGCCAGUUAGUUACAAGUCAUUAAUAAAUCAAUAAACUGUUUCAGUACUGAUUUCAUUCAAACCACAGCAGCUGAGCAGUCUUUUCCUUGUCACUGAAUAGUAAAAGUAAUGAUCUACACUCUCAAAAGGACAUGUAUUUUUUAAUGCCCUCUGAUUAAAAGAGCAACUUGCUGGUGCCACUUGCAAACUGCAUCAAUAAACUGUGUGAUAGCAUGCCUUACUUCUAAAACCUCUGAAUGAAGUUUUAUAGCCAUAUUGUCUUUAAAUCCUUAACUCAGAAUUCAAGAAAGCACUUAGAGUCACUAUUUAUUUAUUUAUUUAUUUAUUUACAUAUUUAUCAGGUUUCCUUGCAGUCUUUGGAGCUUAAUGAGGAUCUAGAUACAAUGAUUCCUCAGAAAUAAUCUCUACGCAGUUUAACAGUGCUUUAAAAAAGUCUGCUUUGCUUUUAGCUUCCUAGCUUUCCACCCUUCAUCCCAGAAUAUGGAGCUACAGUAGAAAGUAGAAAUCUAUCUUCUCAGUGUUCCCUUGCUUUCCCUGUCCUUUCUGAUGCAGAUCACUGUAGAUGGAUGUCAUGCACUCUCCUUGGACAUACUUUGUAUAGAGCAAUAUGUGCAUUUUAACAAAUUGCAGGCACCUCAAAUACAAUAGCAGGCUCAAAGGUUGUUUUCCACCUUGAGCUCUGUGAGCUCUGCAACACUUGGGAAAAGUUACAAAAAGCCAAAUCUAGAGGAUUAUUUUCUUUAGAGCCCAUCUGACUGUUAAUGGGAAAAACAUUGUCUUCUGGAAAAUAAAAAAAAAGGCAGUCAAAAUGGAGAUGACACUCAGAAGAACUAUAUUUGGAACAACAAGUAUGUCGAUCUUGAAAUUCUGGGGCUGUUGAAAAAAUACACUCUUCUACACACAAUCUUUAUACUGUGGUUCCCCAUAUUAUAGUACAUGACAUUCUUUCUACAAUGUGAUAGGAUAAACAACAGUGCAAUAAGUGAUUGACAGCCUGACAUGGUCUUUGUGUAAUGCAAAUUGACACUUAGGUUAUGGUAUCCCUGUUGGUAUGUGGUGCAGUGACUUUAAGGCACAUCACACUUGCUAUCCUAAUGCAAUAUUACCACUGUGUUUACCUGUUUUCAAUCACAUGGGGAAAAAUAUAGCAAGGUCUCAUCUCAAGAGACAAAAAUAUCCCUUUGUUAAGGCCCCAGAUGUGCCUCUCAGGAGCCACUAUUAUUUCUCUUUUUGAUCCAGAAGUCAAUACUCCACACCACCAUUGUUUGUAGAUGGAAUUCAUAUCAAAUAUCUUUGAAAACAGUGGAGAAAAAAGAGAUGUGUACUAUCUCCACCUGAGCCAGUUUGAUGUUUGACAAACAUUAAAUCUUUAAGGGGUGGGUUAUCUCAUGCGUUAUUUGAAUUGCCCGUUGGAGGUGCCUGUCACUUUGUUUUGACAGAAAUGGAGCUUUAACUAACAAACUCCUGCAGUUGUUGCCUCUCUUAAGUGGCUAAAGCAAGAUGAAAUCUAGGCUUAGGAUUUGAGCAGUAUAAAUUUAUCCAUGUGCAAUCUAUAAACUGGACAAAUCGAUAAAUCAAUUCAUUUUUUGCUUUCAUGUUUUGAUUCCACCUUAAGUACUUUUAUUUAAUGCUUAAAUACAAAUUAUGUAUAUAUUUAAACAAUAGACCAUAAAAAUGUUUUUUGUUAGAAUUUGUUUUCAAAUGCACAACUUUGUCCCUCUUCCUGUCAUUUAGAAUAAUCUACAUUCUUCUUAGCCACCUAGCAUGUUUGUAUAUAGCUUUAAAACCUGAGACUUGCCAAUCUGUGUCGCUGAAAUGAUAGGAGAAUAGCGAAAGAAGUCACAUUAUAUUUUUAUGUCUUUAUUUUCAAAAGAUACAGUCAGAUAAUAAGGUGGAAAAUAGCUAAAUGCUAAAGAAGGUGGAUUUGUUUGUUUUUUUUAUUCCUAGGUUCCCCAUAGCAGAGACUCAGACAUUGAUUCCAGAAAUUAUUCUAAAAUAAAUAAUUGAUUUGCAAGGUACAGUUAGAGCUGCUCGAGUUGUGUGCCUCCUGAAGAGGGACUCUCAGUCAAAAAAAAAAACUUGGACAAUUAUAGCCCCACAACCAAAGCUCCCACCCUUUGUGUGUAACUCUCAGCCAACUGCAAAGAGUCUGGAGACUCCCUGUUCUUCAUCGGAUCUCUUAAUUUUCAUGAGGUGGUCUGUCACUUGAGGUUCUGACCUUCAGUUGCUAUUUUGCACCUGCAGCUGAAGAAAAUAAGUUCUUGACAACAGCCAAAACAUUCUUCUGUUUUGUCUUCUGUUACAUGAAGUUCUGUUCCUUAUCGCCAGGUAUGCAGUUCCCCUUAUCUUCUAGCUUGAAGACUCCAAGGCCUUUGAUACUUAAUGAAGCUGAAAUUUUAAAGUUUCACAGGUUGCAGAAGUUAUGCUAAGUUAACUUACUUAUGCUAAGCUAAUUCUAUAUAAAGAGUUUCUAAACAAGUUCUACAAGAAGCAGUAUACCGAAUAAUUCAAUAAGCUAAGACUGUCUAUUCCUAACACUAAUCCAAAUGGACUCUUGGCUUCUUACUAUUUUUCUAAGAAUAUCAUUCAUGAGACAAGCAAUAAUAGUGAUAAAUAUCUACUAUUUCCCCAUAUGGAGGCUAAAAGGAAAAUGCACGUCAGAGGAUUAGGGUUUUUUUGAAUACCAUUAAAGAUGUAUCAGUUUGUUAAUUUUUACUGUAAAAUGAUAAUGACCCUCCUCAAACACUUCACUAAUUUGACAUUCUGGUCUGGUUCGUAUUUUCAUAUUGCUCCCGAUGAAGUGAGUCCAGUGGAGGGUCACUGACAUGAUUAGAGGGCUGGAUGACAUGAAAUACAAAAGAGGCUGAGAAAAAUGAGUUUGUUCAGCCUGCAGAAAAGAAGGAUCCAAAGAGACCUUUUUGGCUCUCUACAACUACUUAGUGUUUGGGAGAGGUAUAGAGGAAAAAAAAAGAGCCAGUCUCUUCCAGAGAUGUGCUGUGGAAACACAAGAGGCAGAUGACCCAAGCUGGAACAUGGGAAAAUUUGAAUCUGUAAGCAAACAGUUCUUCUGCAUGUGGGUAGUAAAAUGUGCAUGCACUUUUUCCAGAGAGGCUGUAGAGAAUCCAUCCCUGUAGUUAUUCAAUACUCAACUGUUCAGGGCCCUGAGCAAUCUCAGUGGCUGACUCUCCUUUGAGUAGGAGGUUGGUUCGUCUAGGGACCUAGAGAGGUCCCUUCCAACCCAGAUUAUCCUGUGAUUCUGUGAUCAUCAUUAAAAUAAAUUCUACUUACCUGAGUGUAUGCUAUGCCCUACUCACAUGCAGCUUCCACAGUGCUUUGACAAAGUGGUAUGUAGAUUAUACGAUUACUUCAUUAGAAAACAAAUAAAGAGAUAAGCAGCAAUGUAAUAGACUGAAAUUUAAGACCUCUUUUUCACUCUUGGGUUCAUGAUCAUGUACUUGAGCUGUGUUGUUUGCAUGGGAAUCUCUAUGGUCAUGAUUUUGUGUCCACUUAACUAGUACCUCCUUCACAGAGAGAGAAAAUGUAGGUGAUCUGGUAGUCCUUUCAAAUAUUAAACAAGACUUUUUUUUCCUCUCUUUAUUUUUUUUUUUUUUUUUUUAGUAUAAUAUUUCAAAAUACUCUCCUGACAGAGUUUUCCAAGGGGAUAUAAUCUCUACUCCAAAAAUAAUUUAAUUAAUAGUCUGACUGGUAUUAAAGUUUGGAGUGAAGAAAUCUAGCAAAGAAGGAGAAAAAUCAGGGUGGUGUGGAAUAUGUAACAUCUUUUGCAAACAUCUUUUUUCAAGUGCAAAUCAUAUUUUACUGGGCAUGUGCACUUGUGAUGUGUAAGCACUUCUCCUUAAUGAAUAAAAUGAUUCUAUGUGUUUAAAAUCUGUUUCUCAGCUCCUCAGAAUCUUAAUUAGACAUAUUCACCAAAUAUAACAGGCAAAAUGAGUUUCAGACAGGACCUGUUGACACUUUGCUUUUGUGGUGUUUUUUGUUUGGUUUUUAUUGCUGUUUUUGUUUUUCUUUCUUUCAGGAACAAGCCAUUAUUGUGUUGAAAUAAAAAAAAAACAAGGCCUUGGGAUUUAAUAAGCAACUUGCUUCACUGUCUCAAAAUAUAAAACCAUAAAAGCUCCUUAUUGUCUUUACCCAAGGACAAUUCCUUGUUUAAUGGUUCAGAUUUUCUUUCCUCAGCCAUUUGGAAGCCAUUUAUGAUUUAUUUUUUUUAUUUUUUUUUUCAGGAAUGUUGUUUGUAUUUUAUUUCUAAUUUUCUAUGGGAAACUCCCAAAUAUCUCAAAAAUGACUUACAUAAACCAUUACUGCUCUGGUGUAUGCCUAACAUACAUAAUCAUGUUGGUUUUACAGCUCAAAAUAUUCUAGACACACUUGUCUAAUUACUUCAUAAAGUAAUUAUGUACAGUAAUCAUUCUAGCAGAUUUUAUGUGGGAGCGUACGUACUUUGAAUGGCUUUUAAUUUCAUUAUAAUGAAGUAUAAUAAUAAUAAAGACUGCUCAUAAAGGUUCAUAUAAAGGAUCUGUCUCCAUUGUACCUGACUCCAAUAUGAGCAGCAGUGAGAGGAUGAUCAUUCCCACCCACUCCCUUUAUCAUUGCCAGCAGAAACCACUCAUUGCCACACAAGCAGAAUCCUUUGUUACUUGCAGCUCUACCUCCAUUUUCUCCUGAUGAGUGCAUGUGAGAGGACCAGUAAUUCUGGACUGUGUCAGCUUCAUUGAUCUGCUGAAACCUGCAUCAUCACUGGUGAUAUUUCCACCAAAACUACCACCUGAGUACACCUACUCUGGACUGUAACUCUUCAGUUUGUUAUAUCACAAAAGCCAAGGACUAUACCUAAUGCCACUUUGAUGGCAAAAGAGGAAGCUCCUGUGGGGUCCAUUACACCUCAUCACCUGAUUCACAAAGGAGACUACCUGCAGACUAUUGCACCCUCACUACUCUCGACAAUGUACAUGCUGACACUGAUAUGGGUGAUGGGGCCAUGGCUGGGUGAACUCUUACUGGUAGAUUUUGUCUCAUUCUUUCACGCUUAGUCAUAACAGAGAGUUUCAGCUCCACCUUCCUCCAACAUAUUGCUGCUUUGCAAGACCAAACUCUCUGCCAUCUUGGUAUUCACACUUCUGUCUGAGACCACGCAAACAUGUCAGUUUUUCUGGACCCUGAGCAAGUUGGCCAUCUGAAUCAUCAGGAGAAGAAAGCCUGAUGAAGUGGAUCCACUGGGCACUGUAAGGAUAAUUUCUGCCAAAACUAAAUUUUGGUGGAGGACAUCUUCAAACACAGAGAAAAUUGGACCCUUUUUGUUUACUGUGGUUUAUUUUUACUGCCUUGAAAAACCUCAUCUCACACUUUUCCAAGCUGUGUAUUAAUACAUUGAAAACAACAUGUCUUAUCACAGAUCCCUAUGGAACUCCGCUGGUCACUUCCCCACACAGUAAGACAUUUUGGUUUAUUUCUGUAAUCUACUUCUUAUCUUUUCAAUCUCUGUGCAAGAAAUUUCUUUCUCAUACCAUAGCUGCUUUGUUUCCUCUAAAGUCUUUGAUGAGUGACAUUGCUAAUAGCUUUUUGGAAAUCCAAGUGCACUGCAGACAAUUUAUCACUUUACCAAGUACCUAAUCAGUUAUGCUUGAUAGUACAUAAAGGCAGCAUGGAAGUAUCUAAUGUACAAUGUUUUGUUAUAAACCUUUCAGUCUGUGUUGAUUAAUCUUUUUUUCUUUUUCUUUUUCUUUUUUGUUUUUUUCUUCCUGAGACUUCUCUCUGUUUUUAGCAGAUUACUCUAGGAUCAAUGUAGGAUCAAUGCCCUUUUUUUUUUUAUGACACAGAAUAUAAUUCUUAGAGCAUAGUAUUGGGUUUAGGCAGCAAGGUUUUGGUUGCUGGGAAGCUGUAAGGGUGGCCUCUGUGAGAAGAGACCAGGGAUUGCCCUGUGCCAAGCACAGCAGCUCUGCAAUGGACCUACUACAGGACACAGCUGAGCCUGCCAGUGAAGUUGAUGGUGCCUCUGUGUAAACAUAUUUAAGAAAGGGCAAAAUGCCACACAGCAGUGUGUGAGGAGUGAGGAGAAAUACGCAAAGUGUGAAAAACAGUCUUGUGAUUGUGAGGUCAGAGAAGAAGGAGGGGGAGGCAGCACUUCAAGAAGAUGUUCCUCUGCAGCCUGUGGAAGUUUUGUAAGAGGCCAGGGUGAAGCAGGUACUUCCCUGCAGCCCAUGGAGAGAACACAUCUGAGCUGAUGUCUACACUGUAGCCUGUGAAGACCCCAUGGUGGAGGUUUAUCCUGAAGGACUGCAUCCAUGCGAAGGCCCCUCAUUGGAGCAGGGGUGUGGUCUGAACAGUAGUGGAGUCUGAUAAGGUCAUAAACCAAACUUUAUUGAGGCAGUAAGAAAGAUGAGCAACAAUGUGCUCACACAGUGACUCACCCAAUCACCAACAGCAAACUCAAGGUUGUAAGUGAUAUCAUGGCUCCAGCAGACUAUCAGGAACACUUACUGUCUGGGUCAUCUGACCAGAACAGGCAUAGGUGCAAAUGUCUUUUGAAUGCGUAUAAAAGUUGCAUUAUACCUUCACUACAACAAUGGCAGAAAGACUUGAGAAAAUCAUAACUUACAUGGCAAUAGUGUGUCCUACACUUCAUCUCAGAAGAUGUGAGAGGCAUCUUGCCUACCUGGCAACGCUUGUCAAGGGGAAUAGGGUAAAAAGGAAGGAGUGUGACAGAAGAAUGGUUACCGACUGAUAGUAACCCCUACCUCCUACUCCUCCAGGCCACUUGAGUUGUGUGGGCAACGAGGAGGUUGGAUAUGGGACUGAAGGAGUGAAGUUGAACUUGAGAAAAAGGAGGCGGCAGAAAGGUUGGUUAGUGAUUUAUCUUUAUUUAUCCUCAUCCUAUUUUAUUUUUAGUUAGCUAUUUAUUAAAUAUAUUUUCCCCAAGUCAAACUUAUUUUGCCUGUAAUGGUAACUGGAAAGUAAUCUCCCCAUCUUUAUCUCAACCCACAAGCUUCUUUCAACUUAUUUUCUCCCCCAUCCUGCGAGGAGAGGAAAUGAGAGAGCAGCUGGGUGAGAGUCUGGCAGUUCACCAAAGCCAACCCACCACAGGCCUUUAGCAUUUUUGAUCAUAUUUUUAAUUUGAAAAUCAGCUAAAAUAAGGUUCAGUUACUCUUUUAGGCAUUCAGCAGUAUUGCAACAGAAAACCUCCAUAUGCAUUGACUGCAAGAGAAUUCUGUCUCUUCCUUCAUGCCACGUGAAGUACAAACUUUCUGGUUUCUAGAGUAAGUAUUCUGCAAUUUGAAGCCAGAUUUCUUACACAGAUCUAAAAUAUAUUAAGCCCCACAUCCUUCCACUUCCACUGUGAAAAAAAUCUGAAGUUUAUGUGGAAAACAAUGUGUUAGUGCAACUGCUGGAGAAAUGGAGUGACAUGAACCUCAUGAAGGAGAACAAAGGGAAGAGCAAAGUCCUGAACCUGGGAAAGAAUAACUUCCUCUGGCUGUACCUACAGACUAUGGGACGAGAUACUGGAAAGCAGCUCUGAGGAGAGGGAUCUGGGGGUUCUGGUCGAUAUCAAGCUGAACAUGAGCCAACAGUGUGCCCUGGCAGUCAAAAGGACCAACCGUGUCCUGGAGCGCAUCAAGCACAGCAUUGCCAGCUGCUUGAAGGAGGUGAUUGACCUGCUUGAAGGAUGUGAUUGACCUGCUCUGCUCUACAAUGGUGUGAUGUCCCCUGGAGCACUGUGUGCAGUUCUGGGCGCCACAGUAUAAAAAAAUAUAUAAAGCUACUAGAGAGUGUCCAGAAGAGGGCUACAAAGUUGGUAAAGGGUUUGUAGAGGAAGCCUCAUGAAGACCGGUUAAAGUCACUUGGUUUGAUCAGCCUGGAGAAGAGGAGACUUAGAGGAGACUUAGAGGAGACCUCAUUGCAGUCUAUAGCUUCCUCACAAAGGGAGGAAGAAUGGCAGGUGCCAAACUCUUCUCUUUAGUGACCUGUGACAGAACCCAAGGGAAUGGCAGGAAGAUGUGCCAGGGGAGGUUUAGGUUGGACAUUAGGAAAAGUUUAGGUUUAGGUUGGACAUAGGAAAAAGUGGUGGAGCAUGGAAACAGGCUCCCCAGGGAGGCAGUCAUGGCCCCAAGCCUGAGAGUGUUCCAGAAGCAAUUCAACACUGUCCUUGGACACAUGGUGUGAACUUUGGCGUUGUCAUAUGCAGGGACAGGAGUUGGACUCUAUGAUCCUUGUGGGUCCCUUCCAACUCAGGACAUUCUGUGAUUCCUGCACCGGUACAUUCUGGGGGCCAAAACUUUUCCAAACUGGCUGAAAAGGGGCUUGGCAAAAACUGACCUGGAGGCCUGUUUAAACUCAAUACUGUCAAAUAAAACUUUCUAGAAAAGAAUCAGUAUGAGGCAGAUAAUGAAAUGUAAAUGUUCACAGACCUGGCAAAUUAAAAGAGAUUGUUCCCAUUUUCAAGAAAUUUUGAAGAAGUCUGGGUAAACAACUAUAUAUAGCUACACUAGAGCUGUCCCAUGUUGUAUAUAACACAGACAUACAUAUAUAUAUAAUUUCUUAGAAGAAGGAAAAUUGUGACACUACUUUUUCUUCUUGCAAGGUAUUAUUGCUGCUAGUUAUACAUAGUGCUGUACGAAGAGUUCUAUGGCUGCUGGGGCAAAGCACUGAAUAAAACUUAACUAGACAAUGAAAAUCUUUAGUGCUGGAAUUAUUUACUUAAUAUAACCAUGUUAUCUUAACAUUGUGUUUUUGCCACUACACAGCUUCUUUUCAUAGAAGAUGAAACACAAUUAUAGGAUAUUAUCAAAUGUUAAAAGAUAAUAAUUAUGAAUAUAAUUUGUCCAAUGUAACUAAUUAAUUUUCAUUUUGUAAUAAUAAGUGAGGCAUUAUGAAGAAUUAUUACAUUUUUGGAAUAAAAAGAACACUCUGGGGUUCUGUUGUUAAUGUUGUUCUUAAUCAGUUUAAUUUUGUUUUCAAUAUAGCCAAAUAAAUUAGCAUAGCAAAUAAAGUGUUUAUUCCUUAAUAUCUAAGAGCAGCUGUCUUCACGUUUUCUAUCAUAUGUUUCACUCCCAAAAGGAAGGAGAAUAUUUUCUGCUUGCACAUUGCUGUUUUUUUGCAAAGACUCAGAGAAAACAGCAUUUUUUUCUAAUCUCAAAUAAAUGCACCCAGUACUUCCUCCCUUCAUUUCCUCCUUUCUGCUGUGUCUUGGCUGUGGCCUUUCACUGUCGGUUCUGGAAUUCCUCCACAUGGAAUUGCAAAAUCAAUAAUUAAUUAUUCUUGCAACAGUGAAAAUGUUGAAUUCCCAGAAAUAUGAAGGAUAUCAUUUUUAGGAAGGACAUUAGAACCUAUUUUUCUUUAUACUGGAAGUGCCAUUCCCUAAGUCUGAUUGUUUUUGUCUGUGUGUUUAUUUUUAUCUGAGAGAAAUCUUUCUCAUCUUGAGGUCAUGAUUGAAAAAGCUGAGAAUACAAUUAGCAACUUAAUCAAGUUGUUCAUCAUCAUAAUCAAAAGAGAUUUGCAGGCAAAUGGGAGCAGAACAUUCAACACAAAGGUAGAAAAGGAAAGACAAGGAAGAUUAUUUGCCUUUUUAAAUUUUUUUUCUUUUUUUUUUCAGAUGUGCUUUUUAAAAGCUGUUAAAACCUUAAAGGCAACCCACACUCUUACAAAUAUAAACAAAUAUCUGUGAACAGAACAGGAGAAUGUAAAAACAGUGUCUCAAGUCAGAAUGAAUACAGGUGGUACCCUGAAUCUGUUUACCCUUUUUGAAAGAAUUAAUAAUAAAUUCAAAAUGUUACAUGCCCCAGAGAUUAACAGUUUCAAAAUAAAAUUCCUACUAAUUCUCAGAUCAGUCUAUUAUUGGGAUGUAAUACAAAUGUUGCAGUUACACUAGGUUAUUUACACUGCAUAAUUUGGUGACUACCUUUUUAACACAUAGCUCACUUUGUGGAAUAGGGAAGAGAAAAUGUCAUUUUCUUCCCUUUAUGUUUUAGUGGCUGCAAAUCUUCAAGAAAACGAAACACUGUAUCAGGUCAAAGUAUAAAAUGUCGGUAUUAGUAAUGAGAUGGUUCUUAAAGAUAAUCAGUACCACUAAUAGUUUUGAAGUCCAUUAAAACAAAUCUCUGGAGCUUCUUGGCUGUUUGCCAGAUCAAUGCUAUGAUAAUAUCUAUAUCAACACUUCUUGUCAAUUGAACAUACACAUUAUCACCUAAUUAAUAAGGGUGUGGAAGCCGUUUGAGUUUAUUUUACUUUCCUUUAUGCUAAUAUGUCCACAUUUAUUACUGUUCAUCUUACGUUUUCUUCAAACUCUUCGCUUACUUGUUUAUACUAGGGUAUUUAAUAAAAAUAGCCAUUCAUUUUGUAGUCCUUUGCAUUCACUAUGACAAAAUUAAUCAGCAUAAUAUCAAAAACUCCUAAGGAGACAUUUCUGACAAUCAAAAUCCUCAGAAAGCUCACCAAUUUUCAUGUAACAUAUGGUUCCCAUUCACAUUCACAUUCUAAUCCAAGUAGUAGGCUGUUCCAUUUAGGAAACGCAGCCUGGGCAGAGGCAGGAUUGGACAGGCUGGAUCAAAGGACUGAAGCCAAUUGUAUGAGAUUCAAAAAGACUAAAUGCCGUGUUGUGGCGGAUGCCCCUCGACCCGUCUCCCUGGCGCCAGCCAAACCAGCAGCAGUUAGGUCCAGACUCCAGAGGAGAUAAG